rnacentral:rRNA from 1 species
UGGGUUCAGAACGUCGCAAGACAGUUCGGUCCCUAUCUGUGGUGGGCGCUAGUAAAUUGAGUGGACAUGACCUUAGUACGAGAGGACCGGGUUGUACGUGCCGCUGGUGUAUCUGUUAUGCCGCCAGGUGUAAUGCAGAGUAGCUAUGCACGGCAAGGAUAAACGCUGAAAGCAUCUAAGCGUGAAACCUUCCACAAGAUGAGUUUACUUUUAAGGGUCGUCGAAGACUACGACGUUGAUAGGCUAUAGGUGUAAAAAUGGUAACAUUAAAGCCAAGUAGUACUAAUUACCCGUAAGCUUUAUUUUUUA